rnacentral:rRNA from 1 species
UACGUAGGGGGCAAGCGUUGUCCGGAAUCAUUGGGCGUAAAGAGCGUGUAGGCGGCCCGGUAAGUCCGCUGUAAAAGUCAAAGGCUCAACCUUUGAAUGUCAGUGGAUACUGCCGGGCUAGAGUCCGGAAGAGGCGAGUGGAACUCCUGGUGUAGCGGUGGAAUGCGCAGAUAUCAGGAAGAGCACCAACGGCGAAGGCAGCUCGCUGGGACGGUACUGACGCUGAGACGCGAAAGCGUGGGGAGCGAACAGG